rnacentral:rRNA from 1 species
CCCUUAGAUGCUCUGGGCCGCACGCGCGCUACACUGGUCGAUGCAACGAGUUUCUUUCCUUGGCCGACAGGCCUGGGCAAUCUUUGAACAUCGAUCGUGAUCGGGAUAGAUUCUUGUAAUUUUUGAUCUUAAACGAGGAAUUCCUAGUAAACGCAAGUCAUCAGCUUGCAUUGAUUACGUCCCUGCCCUUUGUACACACCGCCCGUCGCACCUACCGAUUGAAUGGUCCGGUGAAAUCUCCGGACUGGCGUGAGUCGGAGCAAUCUGACAAACACCGGAACGUUGAUUAAACCUUACCAUUUAGAGGAAGGUGAAGUCGUAACA